rnacentral:lncRNA from 1 species
CUUUGCCCUUUCCCCUACCUGCGAGCCAGUCCCAGUUCCACCAGAGGAGAAGGCCAUGACCCAGUUUUAGAUUCAUCUAAUUUUUAUUCUUCAAUGGCAAGCAGAAACACCAAAAGGAUACCCAGGAUUUGGAAGCAGACUUAUUUUAUGUCAACAGUUCCAGCAUUUAUGUAAUUGCUCAGUAGACCUUUUGUGUUGGCUGCCCUAAAAUCCUUGCUUCAGGUGAUGCUGGGUCCAGGCUG